GAGGGUGUAGCUCAAGCGGUAGAGCGCAUGCUUACUUAGCAUGCUCGAGGUCCUGGGUUCGAUCCCUGGCACUGCCU
rnacentral:tRNA from 1 species